AUGGAUCAGCAAAAAAUUUCUUUUCAUUUUAUUGGUGUAAAAAAAAUCCCCAUUCUGAGCGUAAUUCAUCCCAACUGCUCAUUGUCUCCAUCUCUGCAUGGCUUUGCUGUAGGCAGGCUGCCCUCACUCUCUAGCUAUGGGGAUUCCAUGCAUCUGAAAGCAUGGAGGAGAGCUGAACAGACUAAUCUGUGGUCAUCCAAGAAAAACCACCCCACAGCCAACAACACUGACCACAAACACGCCGACAACCCUGGCAGAGACCAGAAGAAGCGCUCAGGUCACAUGAAGAACCAACACCAAGAGGGCUUUGGAAGGCAGACAAAGAGGAAUAAAACAAAAUCAACGGAAACUUCUGCAGAGCUGUGCCUGAUUGCGGACUCUGAGGAGGGAUGGAAGAGGUUUGUGUUCAGUGCGUUUCAGGUACGUUGA
rnacentral:lncRNA from 1 species